UACGUAGGGGGCGAGCGUUGUCCGGAUUUACUGGGCGUAAAGCGCGCGUAGGCGGAGCGUUAAGUCCGGUCUGAAAGCCCCCGGCUCAACCGGGGAAGGUGGCUGGAAACUGGCGUUCUGGAGGGCGAUAGAGGAGCGUGGAAUUCCUGGUGUAGCGGUGAAAUGCGUAGAUAUCAGGAGGAACACCCGUGGCGAAGGCGGUGCUCUGGGCCGGAACUGACGCUGAGGAGCGAAAGCGUGGGGAGCGAACAGG
rnacentral:rRNA from 1 species